CUUGAUUCCAAAUCUGGGUGACCAGGUACCAAGGAAGGAAAGAAGGAUAUAACUAGGAGUAAAUUGGAAAGAGGUAACUAUCACAUGGAUCCAUUUUCUCAAACACAUGGCUGGGCUGGGGACUUCUGGUUUUAUGCAGAAGCAAAUGAAGAUGUCAGAUCAAGGAAAUAACCCAUUCAGUUGUAUGAUGCACGGCUCACCCCACCAAACAGAAGAGCCCCAGUGCCCCUGUCAGAGAUGUGAGCCCCCAGCCCAGCACCCAAAAGAGCAUCAGCCUCAUUCCGGCUAAGACCCAG
rnacentral:lncRNA from 1 species